AACGAACGCUGGCGGCAUGCCUAACACAUGCAAGUCGAACGAGACCUUCGGGUCUAGUGGCGCACGGGUGCGUAACGCGUGGGAACCUGCCCUUAGGUUCGGAAUAACUCCCCGAAAGGGGUGCUAAUACCGGAUAAUGUCUUCGGACCAAAGAUUUAUCGCCUUUGGAUGGGCCCGCGUUGGAUUAGCUAGUUGGUAGGGUAAAAGCCUACCAAGGCGACGAUCCAUAGCUGGUCUGAGAGGAUGAUCAGCCACCCUGGGACUGGGACACGGCCCAGACUCCUACGGGAGGCAGCAGUGGGGAAUAUUGGACAAUGGGCGAAAGCCUGAUCCAGCAAUGCCGCGUGAGUGAUGAAGGCCUUAGGGUUGUAAAGCUCUUUUACCCGGGAUGAUAAUGACAGUACCGGGAGAAUAAGCUCCGGCUAACUCCGUG
rnacentral:rRNA from 1 species